rnacentral:rRNA from 1 species
AUUGAACGCUGGCGGCAGGCUUAACACAUGCAAGUCGAGCGGAGAUAGUGUGCUUGCACAUUAUUUUAGCGGCGGACGGGUGAGUAAUGCCUAGGAAUCUGCCCGAUAGUGGGGGACAACGUUUCGAAAGGAACGCUAAUACCGCAUACGUCCUACGGGAGAAAGUGGGGGCUCUUCGGACCUCACGCUAUCGGAUGAGCCUAGGUCGGAUUAGCUAGUUGGUGGGGUAAAGGCUCACCAAGGCGACGAUCCGUAACUGGUCUGAGAGGAUGAUCAGUCACACUGGAACUGAGACACGGUCCAGACUCCUACGGGAGGCAGCAGUGGGGAAUAUUGGACAAUGGGCGAAAGCCUGAUCCAGCCAUGCCGCGUGUGUGAAGAAGGUCUUCGGAUUGUAAAGCACUUUAAGUCGGGAGGAAGGGCUGUAGGUUAAUACCUUGCAGCCUUGACGUUACCGACAGAAUAAGCACCGGCUAACUUCGUGCCAGCCGCCGCUGUAAUAC